GAUGAACGCUGGCGGCGUGCCUAAUACAUGCAAGUCGAGCGAAUGGAUUAAGAGCUUGCUCUUAUGAAGUUAGCGGCGGACGGGUGAGUAACACGUGGGUAACCUGCCCAUAAGACUGGGAUAACUCCGGGAAACCGGGGCUAAUACCGGAUAACAUUUUGAACCGCAUGGUUCGAAAUUGAAAGGCGGCUUCGGCUGUCACUUAUGGAUGGACCCGCGUCGCAUUGGCUAGUUGGUGAGGUAACGGCUCACCGAGGCAACGAUGCGUAGCCGACCUGAGAGGGUGAUCGGCCACACUGGGACUGAGACACGGCCCAGACUCCUACGGGAGGCAGCAGUAGGGAAUCUUCCGCAAUGGACGAAAGUCUGACGGAGCAACGCCGCGUGAGUGAUGAAGGCUUUCGGGUCGUAAAACUCUGUUGUUAGGGAAGAACAAGUGCUAGUUGAAUAAGCUGGCACCUUGACGGUACCUAACCAGAAAGCCACGGCUAACUACGUGCCAGCCGCCGCGGUAA
rnacentral:rRNA from 1 species